rnacentral:lncRNA from 1 species
CUACUAUUUUGUGCAAUCAGUUUCACCUGAAGGUUCUAAAGCCUUAAGAACAUCUGGUGGCAAUUUGUAGUUAACACAACAUUAUUUUGCAUUUAUUAAGUGUUGAUAAUGCCCUAGGUGUUGUUACAGAAUACAAUCCCUGUUCAGAGGUCAAGACAGAGGGCAAAUAUGUCCCAUAAGAAAGGAGGCCCUUCUGCCCUGCUGGAGCUGGAUCAGGGAAUUGACCCGGAGAUCACGGUCAGGGAGGCCAAGGUUCAAAUGCCAGAAGAGCAUAGGAGUAUUUUAAGGAGUUUAAGAAGGCACAGGAAAAUGAGUGAUGGUCGUCUUGAAGGGGCAUUUAUUGGCUGGUAGGUAUUUCUGGUAUUUAGCUUCUGGUAUUUAGCCAGUGGAUCACAUUAAUGGAUUAGUAGCUAGAAAGUAAAGCACCAAAUCCUUUGUAUCCAUUGAAGCUUUCAGAAUUUUUCCAGAGAAGCUGAAAGUUGAGUUUUACAAAUGGUGUUCUCAGUACCCUGGAGUCAGGCUAGGUUCAAAUUCAGUUACAGGUGCACUUGCUCCCAGGGUGAGUUAUUUCUCGGAACCUUUUUUUUUUUUUUUUCCAUCUUUGAAAUGGGGAUGAUAAUGGGAAUGAAAUAGAGUAAUAACAUGUGACUGUGGUUUGGAAAGUGCUAUUCAGUACUACUUGUUAUCCUUCCCAAGUCUUGUUUCUUAGACUAGAAGAUUAAAAGAGACACCUUGAGAGGUCUCAGGUGUUUGUGUUUUCCUUGCACUUAGAGGCAUACACAGAAUGUAUUCCAGCAUCAUCACCCCAACUGCAGUGGAACUCCUUGUCUUUCUUCCUUAUCUAUUAAUGAAUAAAGGAAUAAUUGCCGUCA